CCCUUAGACGUUCUGGGCCGCACGCGCGCUACACUGACCAGUGCAACAAGCAUCCGUCCUUGGCCGACAGGCCCGGGCAAUCUUUGAACGCUGGUCGUGAUGGGGAUAGACUUUUGCAAUUUUUGGUCUUCAACGAGGAAUUCCUAGUAAACGCAAGUCAUCAACUUGCAUUGAUUACGUCCCUGCCCUUUGUACACACCGCCCGUAGCACCUACCGAUUGAAUGGUCCGGUGAAGCCUCCGGAUUGGCGCGCACCUCGGUGCCGCCGAGAAGUUGGCUAAACCUUACCAUUUAGAGGAAGGUGAAGUCGUAACA
rnacentral:rRNA from 1 species